rnacentral:rRNA from 1 species
UACGAAGGGGGCUAGCGUUGCUCGGAAUCACUGGGCGUAAAGCGCACGUAGGCGGAUUGCUAAGUCAGGGGUGAAAUCCUGGAGCUCAACUCCAGAACUGCCUUUGAUACUGGCAAUCUCGAGUCCGGGAGAGGUGAGUGGAACUGCGAGUGUAGAGGUGAAAUUCGUAGAUAUUCGGAAGAACACCAGUGGCGAAGGCGACUUACUGGACACAUAUUGACGCUGAGGUGCGAAAGCGUGGGGAGCAAACAGG